CACAAACUCCAGUCACCGAGGAAGGGGAGGCCUCUGCAGAGGAAUUGUCUCUGCCUGUAGGCACAUCCACGGGGACAUUUUCAAGAUUGCUGGAGGGCUAUGCCAAUGGAGGUACAUCUAACAAUCUUCCACUGUUGAGGGAUCCAGAGGAGCUUCUUGAGAAAUGCCAGCCACCUGCUGAGCUGCAAAGGACUUACAAACACAGAGAAUUUAACAUAAUUCAAGGAGGAAGGGAAUACAGGAAGCUCUCAUCUUAGUGCCCUCUGUCCUUCCAGCCCUUUCCUCCUUAAUCCUGCCUAAAACUUGGGAAGCACAGAGUUGCUGACUGCAUUGUCUGGAGAAUUUCUGAAGACCACAUUGCCAACCAAGUGGGAUGAAUACUGGCCCUGGAGUUACUUUCCUUAACUGUAAAAUGAUCCUUUGUUUGGCAUGCUGGGAAAGCAUUCUGACUUUGAAGCCUGUGUGUCUUUAUCAACGUAUUGCUGUUCUCCAUUCAGAGCUAAGUUCUGAGUUAUUCUGUGCCUUGAGGUUGCUGGGGCAGAACCAGAGCACAAUGGAGGCUGAAGUUUCUCUCUGGCUCAGGCCACAGAAGAGCCAGCCACAUCAUUUGCCCUCAUGGUUCCUCAUCCUUAGAUGCUGCUUCAUUCCUUUUGGGAGCUUGGGGUUUAUCACGACUGGCUCUAGGAAUGUCCCUGAAAUUCUUUUUGUUGCUACAUCUGUGAGUGC
rnacentral:lncRNA from 1 species